rnacentral:rRNA from 1 species
UACAGAGGGUGCGAGCGUUAAUCGGAAUUACUGGGCGUAAAGGGUGCGUAGGUGGUUUUGUAAGUUAGAUGUGAAAUUCCUGGGCUUAACCUGGGGACUGCGUCUGAUACUGCGAAGCUAGAGUACUGUAGAGGGAAGUGGAAUUUCCGGUGUAGCAGUGAAAUGCGUAGAUAUCGGAAGGAACAUCAGUGGCGAAGGCGACUUCCUGGACAGAUACUGACACUGAGGCACGAAAGCGUGGGGAGCAAACAG